rnacentral:rRNA from 1 species
CAGCCCCACGGGAAUACAGAGGGUGCGAGCGUUAAUCGGAUUUACUGGGCGUAAAGCGUGCGUAGGCGGCUUCUUAAGUCGGAUGUGAAAUCCCUGAGCUUAACUUAGGAAUUGCAUUCGAUACUGGGAAGCUAGAGUAUGGGAGAGGAUGGUAGAAUUCCAGGUGUAGCGGUGAAAUGCGUAGAGAUCUGGAGGAAUACCGAUGGCGAAGGCAGCCAUCUGGCCUAAUACUGACGCUGAGGUACGAAAGCAUGGGGAGCAAACAGGAUUAGAUACCCCAGUAGUCCCUGUCUCUUAUACA